ACUAGUGUAGCUCAGAGGUAGAGCAGUGUCUUGAUAAGGCAUUGGUCGUUGGUUCGAUCCCAACCACUAGUACCA
rnacentral:tRNA from 2 species